AUGCUAGUUUCAUCAGAAACCAUGCAGCCCCUUCAAUUUUCAAACAAGACACACAACAACAAAUUGUACAUACCUUCCCUUGGCCUCACUCUUGUGCUGCUGAUCUCCUUGGCCUCUCCCGCAAGUUCCUGCACGGAGCAGGAGAAGACCUCCCUUCUCCAGUUCCUCACCGAGCUCUCAUGGGACAGUGGUCUUGCCGCUUCAUGGCAGAACAACACGGAUUGCUGCAAGUGGGAAGGGAUCAUCUGCAGGCAAGAUAGGAUGGUUGCCAAAGUCAUGCUGGCUUCAAAAGGCCUAGAGGGGCACAUCUCGGAGUGCCUUGGAAACCUCACCAGGCUGCAGUAUCUUAACCUCUCUCACAACUCGCUGUCUGGUGGUCUGCCGCUGGAAUUGGUGUCGUCCAGCAGCAUCACCGUCCUUGAUGUCAACUUUAACCAGCUCAAUGGAACACUCCACGAGUUGCCAUCUUCAACCCCUGCUCAACCCCUGCAGGUACUGAACAUCUCAAGCAACCUAUUUGCAGGACAGUUUCCAUCCACCACAUGGAAAGCAAUGGAGAAUCUGAUAGCACUCAACACAAGUAAUAACAGCUUUACAGGGCAGAUACCAACUCAUUUCUGUAGCAGUUCACGAUCCCUCGUUGUGCUAAAUCUAUGCUUAAACAAAUUCAGUGGCAACAUCCUGCAGAAACUUGGUAAUUGCUCCAAGCUGAGAGAGCUCAGGGCCGGCUACAACAAUCUCAGUGGAACACUUCCAGAUGAACUCUUCAAUACUGCCACACUGGAGCACCUGUCUUUUCGUAACAAUGAUUUACAUGGAGCUAUUGAUAGCACACGCACAACCAACCUCAGAAAUCUUGUAACUCUUGAUCUUGGAGGGAACAGAUUUGGUGGAAAGAUUCCAGAUUCGAUAGGCCAGCUCAAGAAGUUGGAGGAGUUCCAUUUGGACAACAACAAAUUCUCAGGGGAGUUGCCAUCAGCUCUAAGCAACUGCACGAAUCUCGUAGCAAUUGAUCUCAAGAAAAACAAUUUCAGUGGACAGCUCGCCAAGGUCAAUUUCUCCAACCUGCCAAAUCUAAAGACAUUAGAUGUUUACUUCAACAGCUUCACCGGCACAGUUCUAGAAAGCAUAUACUCUUGCAGCAAUCUAACUGCACUGCGGGUAUCUACCAACAAAUUAACAGGGCAGCUUUCACCAAGAUUAAUUGAUCUGAAGUACCUCACCUUCCUAUCACUUACCACAAACUCCUUCAUAAAUAUUGCAAAUGCACUUCACAUCCUUAAGAGCUGCAGGAACCUUACCACUCUACUUAUCGGCAGUAACUUCAAGGGAGAGCUCAUGCCAGAUGACAACACAAUUGAUGGUUUCGAGAAUCUUCACGUUUUGGACAUCGAAAGUUGUAAAUCAUUUGGAGGAAUACCUCUUUGGAUAUCAAAGCUUCGAAAACUAGAGGUGCUAAUCUUAUCUGAAAAUCAACUCAGCGGAUCAGUACCAGCCUGGAUCCAAACACUAAGUGACCUGUUCUAUCUAGACAUAUCAAACAAUAACCUCACAGGGGAAAUUCCAACAACACUGAUGGAUAUGCCAAUGCUGAAGUCAGAGAAGAAUGAAGCCCAUUUGGACCCAAGGGUCUUCGAGCUACCUAUUUAUGCAGCUCCAUCACUUCAAUACUGGGUUCCCAUGGCUUUGCGUAAAGUUCUUGAUCUAAGCAACAAUAAACUCACCGGUGAGAUCCCCAUGGAGAUCGGUCAGUUGAAAUCCCUCCUUUCACUCGACUUAAGCUUCAACCACUUGACAGGACACAUCCCACAAUCGAGUUGCAACCUCACAAACUUGCAGAUGCUAGACUUGUCCAAUAACAACCUCACAGUUGCUAUCCCAGUUGCACCGAACGCCCUGCACUUCCUUUCAGCAUUCAACAUUUCAAACAAUAACCUGGAAGGGCCUAUUCCAUCUGGAGGCCAAUUUGAUACGUUUCAGAAUUCUAGUUUCGAUGGGAACCCAAAGCUGUGUGGCUCUGUCCUCACUCACAAAUGCGAUUCAGCAGAAGCACAUCAAGCCAUCAUUCUGUCAAGAAAACCAACUGACUGCAAGGUGGCCUUUGUGAUUGCCUUCAAUGCUUUCUUUGGUGUAGGCGUGUUGUAUGAUCAGUUAGUCUUAGCAAGGUAUUUUAGCUAG
rnacentral:rRNA from 1 species